rnacentral:misc_RNA from 1 species
AACCGCCGUGUGCGAAAGCAUGCACGGUGGUGUGAGAGGGCGGGGGAGUAAUCCCCCUACCUACUCGAU